rnacentral:rRNA from 1 species
GAAUCCCGUCUUUGACACGGACUGCCUGCAUGUUAUGGUGCGCUCUCAAAGAGUCGAGUUGUUUGGGAAUGCAGCUCAAAAUGGGUGGUAAAUGSCAUCUAAAGCUAAAUAUUGGCGAGAGACCGAUAGCGAACAAGUACCGUGAGGGAAAGAUGAAAAGAACUUUGGAAAGAGAGUUAAACAGUACGUGAAAUUGCUGAAAGGGAAACGCUUGAAGUCAGUCGCGUCGGCUAGAAAUCAACCUUGCUUUUGCUUGGUGUACUUUCUUGUUGAUGGGUCAGCAUCAAUUUUGACCGUUGGAUAAAGUCGUUGGGAAUGUGGCAUCUUAGGAUGUGUUAUAGCCCAUCGUCGCAUACAGCGGUUGGGAUUGAGGAACUCAGCACGCCCUUCUGGGGACGGGUUUCGACCACGUUUCGUGCUUAGGAUGCUGGCAUAAUGGCUUUAAUCGACCCGUCUUGAAACACGGACCAAGGAGUCUAACAUGCCUGCGAGUGUUUGGGUGGAAAACCCAUGCGCGCAAUGAAAGUGAAAGUUGAGAUCCCCUCAAGGGGAGCAUCGACGCCCGGACCAGAGCUUCUGUGACGGAUCCGCGGUAGAGCAUGUAUGUUGGGACCCGAAAGAUGGUGAACUAUGCCUGAAUAGGGUGAAGCCAGAGGAAACUCUGGUGGAGGCUCGUAGCGAUUCUGACGUGCAAAUCGAUCGUCAAAUUUGGGUAUAGGGGCGAAAGACUAAUCGAACCAUCUAGUAGCUGGUUCCUGCC